CCCUUAGAUGUUCUGGGCCGCACGCGCGCUACAAUGAUGAAUUCAACGAGUUUAUAACCUUGGUUGAAAAGCCUGGGUAAUCUUUUGAACUUUCGUCGUGAUGGGGCUAGACCCUUGCAAUUAUUGGUCUCCAACGAGGAAUUCCUAGUAAACGCAAGUCAUCAGCUUGCAUUGAUUACGUCCCUGCCCUUUGUACACAUUGCCCGUCGCACCUACCGAUUGAAUGGCCCGGUGAAAUCUUCGGAUUGAGACUUUGUUUUCUUCACGGAAAACGCUGUUUUAAAAAGUUGAUUAAACCUUACCAUUUAGAGGAAGGUGAAGUCGUAACA
rnacentral:rRNA from 1 species